UGAGUGGUAGAAGGUCUAAGAAGAAUGGAGAGUAUUACAUCAGCUUACUUUCCUCUGCUAUUGUCCUGGGGUCCUGAUUAGAUUAACUCCUGUCAUUGAUGUAUGAGGACUGGUCCGUUUAUGUAGUUUAGGAUGGGUCAGUUUACACAAAGAAAAAGAAGGUGAGUUUCUAACAGAAGAGAAAAAUCCCAACACUAUGCUGAUGGAUUCAAACUGGAUGAUCAUGUCCAUUAUUUUAAACCAAUUUCAAGUUCAAAAUGUACAAGGAAAUAUAAAUAUUCAAAUUUAAAUUCA